AUUGAACGCUGGCGGCAGGCCUAACCCAUGCAAGUCGAACGAGUGGCGGACGGGUGAGUCAUGUCUGGGAAACUGCCUGAUGGAGGGGGAUAACUCCUGGAAACGGUAGCUAAUACCGCAUACCAUCAGAUGUGCCCAGAUGGGCUUAGCUAGUUGGUGGGGUAACGACUCACCAAGGCGACGAUCCCUAGCUGGUCUGAGAGGAUGACCAGCGAGACUGGAAUGGAGAAACGGCACAGACUCUUACGGGGGGCAACAGUGGGGAAUAUUGGGCAAUUGGGGCGAGCCUGAUGCAGCCAUGCCGAGUGUAUGAAGAAGGCCUUCGGGUUGUAAAGUAAUUUCAGCGGGGAGGCGUUACCCGCAGAAGAAGCACCGGCUAACUCCGUGCCAGCAGCCGCGGUAAUAC
rnacentral:rRNA from 1 species